rnacentral:lncRNA from 1 species
CCCCAUCCGGGAGAGAUCCUGAGUGUGGAUUAGCUUGGGGAGAGGGGGUGGGAACCCAGGACUGGGCACCCCACUCCCACCCUGCCUCUACCCAGGCCCUGGCUGCCCACGGGGGGCACAUCCUGCCCGGGGACGAGAUCGUGCAGGUCAAUGAGCAGGUCGUGGUGGGUUGGACACGCAUCAACCUGGAGAAGAAGCUGCUGGAGAAGGCAAACGAGGUGACACUGGUGCUGAAGAAGAUCCCCCUUGACCUGCAUGGCUCACCCCUCUCUCCCAGACAGCAACUCCCGGGAGCAUUUUCGGAUGCUGCGGAUUCCCCCGGCACCAGGAGUGGCGAGUGCCCAGGCAGCCCCGUGUCCCUGACCUCCAGGUGAGCCCCAUCCCGACACCCCAACACCCCCAAUCCGGCCAGCGAGGAGCUGUU